ensembl:lncRNA
GCCACUGUAAAGGAAGGAUAGAGAGGCCCCACUAUGAUGGCAAACCAGGGAUUCAGCUUUUGAUGACUGGUCAAAAGAAACAAAAAGAUGGAUGAAGUUUGGUCCAACCAUGCAGUAGGCCAAGCGACCUAUCUCUUUAAAUUUUAGAGAAACGUCUGUACUGUACAGUUAAAGGAAAUCAUUAUUAUUUAAUCAUCCAUAAUGACCUAAUUACUAAUAAAAUUGCAAGCUUUUUUUAGUGAGAUUAAAACGUUCAUUAAUAUGUGCCACCAGCUUUUGAAUGAUGCAGUUUUUCAGAUUAAAUUCCAUUGUGUUGCACCAGUUUCAAUGACAACACAAUGCACAGUACUAAUAAUAAAACUAAUAAGUAUCAAAAUAACAAAACCGCAGCUGGGGAGAACAUCCUGGGGCAACUGUGUUAACUAAGUGUUAUCACAUUGCAAAAAUAGCGCAAAUACAAAAAAAAUCACAAUAGGCACACAACAAUUGACAGUAAUACGAAAACGUUGUUGCAAAAUCAUAAUUGCUCACACAAAUUUAGGCGUGAGAUGAUAUCAAGUGCCUGUACUGUGCAAUCAUGGUCUAAAAAUUGAAUGCAUAAACAAAACUACCAAAAGCAAUGCAAAAAAACAGACCGGUGGUUCUCCAAACUUUGAACAAAAAUAAAAAAAUAAAUUAAAAAAAAAGCCUGAGAGCUGCUUGGCCUGGAACAAAGAGACAUCAUUCUUCUCCAACCUCCCUUAAACAGGGGCAGGACAGUCCAAUUACUUUGUCGGGUAGCACCUGAGAGCAAGGAGAGGAGAACAAACUCAGCAGCUUAACAGACAUUAGAGCACAACAUAUUUUUAUGGAUAUUGAUUGAUUUAUUGAUCAAUUUGAUCAUUAUUCUCAUGGUGUCAGCUAUCAAACUUUUCCCUUCAGAACAGAAGGAAUUCACCAAGAUGAUUUGGUCCUUACUUAUAUCCUGCAGCUGUACAUUCAUGACGCAAAUCUCCUGUUGCACCACAUCCCAAAGGCCCUCUUUUGCAUUGAGAUCAGGUGGUGGAGGCCAAUGUGUGAACACAUUUUUGUGAUCAAGAAACCACUUUGAGAGUUGACCUUUGUGACACUGUGGUUAUAAAGGGAUAGAUAUGGCCAGCAACAAUCAUCAUGUAGGCAAACUGAGACUCAUCAGACCAGGCAAUGUACUUUUUGUACUUUUAGUUUCCUGUUCUUCAGUUACAAAAGGGGAACCUGGAAGCAGGAGGUAACUUCAGAGAUGCUCUUCUGCAUACUUCAGUUGUUACUAAGUAGUUACUGUUCCCUUCCUAUCAUCUCAAAGCAGCCUGCCCGUUCUUCUCUGAUCUCUGGCAUCAACAAGGCAUUUUCACCCAGGGAACUGCUGCUCACUAGAUAUGUUCUCUUUUUCAGACCAUUCUUUGCAAACUCUAGAGAUGCCGGAUGUGCAGGAAAUUUAUGGUUAAAGAAAACAGAAGUAGAAAAUCAUCAGUCUCUGAAAUACUCAGACCAGCCUAUCCAGCAUCAACAACCCAUUCAAAGUAAUUAAAAUCACCUUUGUUC